rnacentral:rRNA from 1 species
UACGGGGGGGGCAAGCGUUGUUCGGAAUUACUGGGCGUAAAGGGCUGGUAGGCGGCCAACUAAGUCGGAUGUGAAAUCCCCAGGCUUAACCUGGGAACUGCAUCCGAUACUGGUCGGCUUGAAUCCGGGAGAGGGAUGCAGAAUUCCAGGUGUAGCGGUGAAAUGCGUAGAGAUCUGGAAGAACACCAAAGGCGAAGGCAGCAUCCUGGGAAGCGCCUGACGCUCAUGUGCGAAGGCUAGGGGAGCGAACGGG